ensembl:lncRNA
GAGAGAGAGAGAGAGAGAGAGAGACUGCAUUUGUCUUUAAUCACACUGGAACACAUUUCUCCUCUGAGAGCCACUUCUUCCUCUGCUGUGUUCAUUUCCUCCUUAAUUUUAAGCUGUGUUUAACUAGAACGUGUCUCAGACGUGUCUCACUCCACACUGACUAGACUUGAAAUUGCUGACGUUUCUUAUUCUAAUCUCAAUUAAUUUAUGCUUUUGUCUUUGUGUGUGUGUGUGUUGCACUCUCCUGCUGAUGUGCACUUGCCUUUUCCCGUUUCCAGCCGAGUGUCUUCCUGCCAGAGGGCGAGAGAAAGAGGCAGCCCACGGAGCGUGCACACACACACCAGCUUCUCAGGGUUAGACACAGUGUGAGGUUCCAGAUCCUGAAAUACUCCUCUCAUCCCCCAAUUUCACUUCUUUACUCCUGCUGUUUGUUCACUUCUCUUGCUCACCUCCCCCCCACGGUCCCUUGUCGUCAUGGUCACCGCAGAAGCUUUGUCUCAUCUAGCAAACACAGAGUGGUUUACGUUACGUAGCGCAGACUGACUUAUUUUAACAUGCUAUAUAGCGCGUGUGUAUGUGUGUAGCAUGUGCAGUGACCGUCGUGUUUUGAGCAUUAACACAAUCUCAAUGUGUUUUAUUCCUGUGCUCUGUGGCUGUAAUCCGAUCGGCUCCAUUUCCACUUCCGCUAUCAUUCCUGCUAACAUAAUUACUGAGACAGGAGCAGCCCCACACACACACACACACGGUCCAUGUUCUACUGUAACGAGAAUAAGCGCUAUUGCAAUUUCAACAUCAACCUCUGACUGACAUUAUUCUAGCAAAGUGAUGCUGAAUAAUAAUUAUUAUUAGUGUGUGUGUCACUCUGCCGUGUUGACCUUUGACCUGUGUGAUCAGUUAUGAGGAGCGAGCACGGUAUCUGGAGUCGAUCGUGCAGCACCACGUGGAGUUGAGCACGUUUGAGGACUACGCAGCGCGCAUGUUUAGCCCUGCCCCCUUCCACCACCCUCCCAGCGAAUCAGAUGAUAAUCAUACACUCAUGUGUGUCUAAAGGUUCCUUCCUGGAGAACCCGGCGUGUGAGAACCCGAGUGUGCCGCUGGACGCCGGUGAUGCAUCAUCUCCCAUCUCUCCUCGAGCCAGCAAGAGCCGCAUGUCCAUGAAGCUGCGCCGCUCCUCGGGAUCCGCCAACAAGACCUGAACACACACGCACAAAACACACAGAGCACAUAGAUCACUAAAACAUAUACGCACUGCACACUCCACGCUCUCACACGCACACACACGUAGUCAUGUGUUGGUAACUGUCUGUACAUCAUGAUACUUUGAUCAAUUCUGAACCCACGAUUUCUGAUGAAAGGUUACUGAGGAACCCGACGCCAUGGUAACGGUGAUAGCGGUGGUGAUGCGUACCGGGUGUCUGUUCCGAUGCAGUGUUACGGAGCUCAGACCGGAUUAAACAUGGACUGAUCACAAACUGCACUCUUCCUCAGCUUCAGUUACUGAUGUGUUUAUAAACUCUGUACACAAGAGGAAAGAAGUGGACCCGUCUCGCUCGCUCUCUCUCUCUGUGUGUGUGUGUGUGAAAUGAAACACAGCCACGUCCUCCUGUUACACCAGUCCUUCUUUCAUUGCUUUAACGUUUUUAUCUCAUGACGACACUACUGUUCUUCUACACUCUAACAACACGUCCUCUUUACCUCAGACGCACUCGGUCAGUGUGAGACAUUGGAGCUAAUGACGCUAACAAGUAAUGGAAACUUAAGGCCUCCAGUUUAGCAUGAUACACCUGUGUGUGAGGCUCCACCCACUGCAGUGUCUCCUAUGUUGUGUUUUUUUUUUUUUUUUUACAGGUGUAGAUUUUGGGGAAAAUAAAGUCGUCGGGACUCAAUUUCAUUUGUUCCCGUUUUCAUAACAAAGUGAACUAGGUUAAAAAAAAUAAAUCCUACACAGUGUGUAAAAAUAAAACAGGGGAAUGAUGAUAAUUAAAUGAUUAAUAGGGGUUAGUGACACAGGAAAACGGCUAUAAACUCAAUCACGGGGACGAAUAAUUCCGCGAGGAGUCAAAGUAAAGCACUCGGUAAUAAAACUGGAGUCGAGACUGGGAUUAAAACACUAAACCCGAGGCUACAGGCUUCUGUUAUUUGUUAGCCACGUUAGCAUCGUAGCCGCAGUGUAAGAUGAAAUAUGGAAAGGUGUUCUGUUGCUCGAGUGCGUUUGGAGGAAACGGCGACUCUGGGCGCAUUUCGUUUCAUUAGAUUGUGUUUUUCUGUUGUACAGAAAUGUGUGUGUGUGUGUUUGUAUAUAAAUAUAAAUAUAAAUGUGAGCGAAAUCUGCAUAUUUAAUGGUUGUGGAUGAGCAGAAUCUGGUCUGUGUACAUAUUUAACAGGAUUUAAAGAAAAGAAAAAAAACACUAAACAAAACGAGACUCGAGUUCGGUGCUGAAGCUUCAUAGCUCUGUCGAGUCUCUCUCACACACACACACACUCUCUCUCUCUCUCUCUCUCUCUGCAGCCAGGAGGAGGCUCUUAUUUUCCUACAGACGGGUAAAACUUUAAUUAAAAGCCGACAUCAUCAUCAUCACGAGGUCAGAGUUGAACUCUGGAGCUAAAGAUAAACCAGACCAAACUGAAGAGCGACGCAUUACAGUCCUGGAUACACACUGCAGCAAAAGUUUGUGCCCCCCAUAGACAUGCACUGAUUAACGCUGACUUUUAAAGCUUGCUUUUUUUUCCCCUCUUUUUUUUUAAAAAACACUUAAGAAAACAUUACAGAAUCUAAAGUAUUUUUCAUUGUUGGUUUUAUUUCCUGAAAGUGUCAUUUUUGAAACCGUGAAUUUUUUUUACCGCCUUUGAAAUGACCACGAACAGAUGAGUCAUUUCCUCUUUUUUUUUUAUUAUUUACUCAUUUCCUCUUCCUUUUCAACCCAUCAAUAUUCUAAUUUUGGAAUGCCGGCACAUCCUCCUGACAUCUCGAACAGCUGUUAGUCACACGAUGUUACCGUGACGACCCAUCACCAACGUUACACUACAGGAUGUGCUCACCUGGUCAUUGUACAGUAAUUUGGAUACAUGGACGUGAUUGGAGAUUAUUUUGUGACAUCACAAACCAAGUUCCGUAGCCAUAGCCCCGCCCCUAAAUCAGUUUUCUAUGCCGAUGUUCUGAGGAAGUCUCUGGUUUGAAGGUUAAAAAGGUAAAAAAUGUGAGUUUCUGUCAAAUCGAUCUAAAAUCUAAAGACGUUAACGUGACAGCGUGGAGUGUUGCGGCUGCUCGGCAGGUGUUCAGGGCGGUAUAGAUCGGGACAGUUAUCGAUUGUUUGUGCUGUAAAUGCGACGCAUCCCAGAAGCCUGAAUAGUUUGGACACAGGCUCCAGAUGGUUUUAUAUCAGAAAGCUGAAACGUGCACACGCUGGAACGUGGACGUGCGAGACAUUGGUGUAAGUUACUGCUGAGAGAGAGAUAGCUGCAUGACGCACGUGCUUACUGCAUGCCUUAGGGAGAAACACACACACACUCAUCUACAUAUUUGUAAAGAGGAAAAUCAGAUGUGCAACUGAACAAACAAAUAAAAAGUAUUAUUCUCACAUACACCAGCGUCUGUUUUAUUUGGAGUUAUUAUUAAAGUAUGUGUUUAUUACAGUAAUUUAUAUUUAUUUCAAAAAUUUAGAACGCUGUUCAAAGUUCUUUAUAGUUUGAAGGAAAAAAAACGAAAUAAACAAAAAAGUCAAAAAUAUUUAAAAAACAGUAAACUGGCAAAUAAUUUUUAAAAAUGUAAUAAACAGAAGUGGCAAAGAACCAAAUAAUACCAAUAAAAAACAUUUUUUUAAAGUAUGAAGUGUAUAAUUGAAAUUAAAUUACAAAAAAUAAAUACUACUGCACUAUGUAAAAAAUAAAGUGAAAAAAGUGUGAAAAAGAAACACUUUGAAGCUGCUUUUUUUUUUUUUUAAUUUUAAAUCUGAGAAUCGUGACCGGUUUUUAGUCUCACGUAGCUUUACUCACUUUAUGAUCCUGAAAUAAUCAUCAUUUCAUUUUUCUUCAUUUAUCUCUACAUAGUGUUUUGAAUGAAAUACUGCACAGUGGGAUCAACUUCAACCGUUUCAGCAUCAACAGCACCAGCGAGGAACAUGAGAGAAACUGCUCUGGC